GUAGUGCGUGAUACCGGGCUCGCAGCAGAAGGUAUAGGCGAAGCUGCAGGACAAACCCACAGCAAAUAGCGGUUUCCGUUGGCUGCGGGCUCGCGUCACCCGGAGACGUGUCACUUGGUGUUGCGGAACCGAGAACAGCCUCUACAGCGACUUCGAGCUCAUCAAGACUGUGUUCCAGGGCUUCUAGAAGCAGGUGCAGUUCGUGGUGCAGGUUUCUUUGUGACUGCAGUGUAUGGUCAAUAGCGGAGAUAGUUGCGAGAAACAAGGCAGCCGCACAGCGCACGCUUAGCGGAUAUCUUUCGUCGGUCGCUGGUGCAGUGAUCGCCUGCACGAUGCUCUGAAGGACUCGCCGACGAAAGCAGGUACCCUUCAGCGCUGAGAACAGGAAGCCGCAAACAUGCUCGUUGCCCUCGUAUCCCAGGUUCAAGCGGAGAAACGCGUCCGUCAGGGACACCUGCGUCUUCGCAGUCGCUACGUGAACGUGACUUCCGGAGGCUGCGUGCACGGUGCCAACUGCUGCGCUCGCACCAACGCUCUCCCUAGUCCAGUGCUCGUCAUAGCACGAUCGCCAGGCCGUUAGUAGGCCAUCGCCGAGGCCCGCUGCUACCUGCUGUGGCGCAUCCCUGAGGAGAUGCAGCAAAGCCCCCUUCGCAACGGCGCUGGGAUGAUCUGCGCCCAUCAAACAGCGCUUAGGAGUGGUCGCUAUGGCUUCAUUCCGAACCCACAAUGUCCAAAAGAUGUAGCACAACGGACUGAGUAGACGCUCUGGAGUUAGAAUGCCUUCGAUGAGUGCAACUUGGCACAGGCGAGCAGCAGAAACCAGUGCCGAAUUCGAUUUGCCAAGCAACGACGUUUGCAGCACCUCCGCGAGACUCGGCAAGAUGGACUGAAUCGUCCCAAACAUGACGUUGCAUUCCUUUUCUGAUUCGUCUAUGGCGGCGAUGGAACAGUUCUCCCACGAUGAUGUGGUCGCAUUUUGCGAGUUGUCGCGGUCGGGUUCAGCUUGAACGCGUAUCCGGCCGCCUACGAUGGGUCGCAUGACGUUGCUGGAGCUGCUCGGGAGCGUCGCUGUUGCUGUGGACGCAGCGCCAACGGCGCGUUCGCUUUCGACAAACUCGACGAGAUGUCUCAGAAGCCGUUCCUGUAUGCCGAGGAGCAGUGACAAGCAUUGUGAACCUGAUGUGGUCUCGCUUGUGAUACAGCCAGACUGCAACAGCUUUUGCCAUAGAGGUAAUUGUUUCAGGGCGAAAUGCCCAUCGCAGCGCGAAAGCUGCAGCAGACAUUCAAAUGCACCGCUGAGUACCGUUAGCCUAGGCGUCGUCAUCUCGGCCGCUGGGCACAUCAGUGCAGCCGGGAGCGUUGCGCAGCAUGUCAGCAACCGAUCGUGCAGAUUGUUCAAGGGAAUGGCCACAUCAGGAGGUGCCUUCGGCGCGUAACGAAUGAGUCUGCCAAGUCGCUGCAAAGCAAGACCUACCACUGCCGCUGAAGGUGCGCUUGAGGUUUCGACACCAGACUCUCCAUCCGCAACGUUCUGAUGGAGCUCGACGAACGUCCACAACCACCGGACACGCUGCCAGUACGCGGCACUGCGUUGUGCUCCUGUGGCAAGAUGUUCGUUGUGAUCGUGCAACAAGCGUAGAAGACGGUUGGCCUCAUCAGCGAGUCCAUCGUUCGCUGACUGCAGUUGAAGAAUAAGGCGCACGACAGCGCUCUCCAGAGUCGACCAGAGCUGCACCUGCGCCCGCGCCUGGCCUAGCACGCGAGUACAGUUCAUCAGCGCACGCAGGAUCCAUAGGAAAACUUGUUCUGUAGCUGAGGGCAGAGCGAUUGGACAUUCGGCAGCGAGAAGGCGAAUCUCGUCGAUGAGCAGCGGCAGAUGAGGACGCAGCAGGUUGGCAUCAAGCUGCGCCAAGAUGGCGAGCAAGCCGUAAGCCUGGUCGCGCAUCGCGAGGCCUACCAAGGCCGUCGCCUCCGCGCGAAAGAGGCACACGAUUUUGUCACCAACUAGCAGGAGACGCUCCAUGAGUACCGGUAUCGGUAACGAACUGGAUACCGACAGCGCUUGCGGCAGAGCGUUCAGCAUUUGUUUCAGCCGCUGGAAGGACAAGUCCAUAGAAGCCGACGUCGCAGACGCAUGCGACACAGAGCUCACCAGCCAGGAGUGUUGCUCAUCCAGGUAACGCACGCGGAGACGGCGCCGACGCAGGGCCUGUCCAACAACCGUCCGCUCUCGGUCAGAUGCUGCGUCAGAAUCUGAGAGGUUCAGGUCGAAGCAGUCAUCGGAUGUGUCGGGGCAAGUCGGUGCGCGCUCGCGAUACACAAGCUGGCGUUGAAAAAUAUGUUUGAGCAGAACGCGCUGAGCGAGACGCUGGACGCUCGGUGACGGAUCAUCCAGCCGUGCGAGUAUAUGCGCUGCCAUCGGCGACCACGCGUGGUUGUCGAGCUGCUCAUGAUCCUGAAAAAUUGCAUCCAGCAAAACCAGAGCUUUCUGGCGAACAGCGACCGAGAUAUCGCGCAAGCGUCCGAGAAGCGUUUCGGAUACAGCGCUGGGUCUGCGCGCACGACGCAUCCACGAUACAUAGCAUGUGAGAGCGGCUUCACGGACUUUGGGUGAAACAUCCAGACAACAGGUAGACGCAAACUUGAUCAUGUCGUCAACGGAACUAGAGGCGGUUUCCAACGCAGUUUCAUUGGAUGCUGUAAAGGGUGUGCACGCACUGGUGGUGGUUCGAAAUGCAUGUGCAGUUAAAAUGCACAACGGAUUUGACG